AUGUCGUCGAGCAGCCGGAGGUCACGCACGCGGCGCACCGGGAGCUCGCCGUCGAUCUCGGAGGAGCAGAUCUCCGAGCUGCUCUCCAAGCUGCAGGCGCUGCUCCCGGAGUCCCAAGCCCGCAAUGGAGCUCACAGGGGUUCGGCGGCGAGGGUGCUUCAGGAGACGUGCAGCUACAUCCGGAGCCUGCACCGGGAGGUGGACGACCUGAGCGAGACGCUCGCCGCGCUGCUCGCCUCCGACGCCGUCACCGCCGAGCAGGCCGCCGUCAUCAGGAGCCUCCUCAUGUGA
rnacentral:rRNA from 1 species